rnacentral:rRNA from 1 species
GACAGAGGGUGCAAACGUUGUUCGGAAUUACUGGGCGUAAAGCGCGUGUAGGCGGCUUGGAAAGUCGGGUGUGAAAGCCCUGGGCUCAACCUAGGAAGUGCACUCGAAACUGCCGAGCUUGAGUUCUGGAGAGGAAGGCGGAAUUCUCGGUGUAGAGGUGAAAUUCGUAGAUAUCGGGAGGAACACCAGUGGCGAAGGCGGCUCUCUGGACCUCUGCUGACGCUGAGGCGCGAAAGCGUGGGGAGCGAUCCGG